AUAUAUGGUUUUUGGGCUGAUGAAAAGGAAAAGGACAACCAAAGCUCUUCAGGAUGCGCAAAUAGAAUUGGGAUACCCCUUGGAAACAAAUAUUCAGAAAAUCUCAAGAACGUGUGAAAUAUUAAUGAAGAUGAUGGCAUACGUUUUCCCACAAUGCAACAAAAUCCAAAUCAAUUCUAUGAGGUUUAGAUGUGCAGUGAAAUAAUCCAUGCCUUCCCUAUGUAAUUGAAUUUCUUUGGGACUGCUCUAUAAUGUCAGCCUUAAUUACUGUACAUUUAGUGACGCUCUCCCAGAUAUGAGCAGGGAACAAUGGCACCAGGCCAGAACUGGGCGGUAUGCUGU